AGUGCAGUGCUGUUCUUUGAUUAGAACUCUUACUUAAAGGUUCCAUGUCCAAUUUUGUGUACAUGCUUAGGGUCACAUGCAUGGGGACAAGAUGCGUGAAGCGAAUUACAGAGCAGCCAUGCAGAUAUUUCAGAGAGUGAAUACUUCACUCCUGCCUCAGAAUAUUCUAGAUCUCCAUGGACUGCAUGUGGAUGAGGCCCUUCAUCAUCUUAGUCAGGUUCUCACAGACAAGAAUUUAGAAUUCAGUCAGGGUUUGUGUGAGGCUCAGCUGUCAAUCAUCACAGGAAGAGGCAAUCGCAGCCAAGGGGGAGUGGCACGCAUCAGGCCUGCUGUACUAGACUACCUAAAAAAUCAUCACUACAGUUUUGCUGAGCCUAAGACUGGACUGGUGCUGGUCACACUUCAUUAAGAGCUGCUACAAUGAAACAUUUACUUUUAGAUUUCUCUCUUUCCACUGCCUUAAUCCAAAGUGUCUUCUCUGCUGACUAAUAGUGCCAGUAAUUAUACUGUUCUUUUGUCUUUUAACUACAUACACCAUUUUCAUGUCUUUCUGUAAUUGUGCAAAAGUUUAUCCAAGUCAUAAAAAUCAACGUAGGCUACUACAUAUUUACACAGUGUUUUAUAAUGCAUUGACCUGUACAUACAUAUUAUUCUUUAUUGAAUGUUUAUUGAUGCAUCCUUAUCCCACUAACUCACUAACUUGGCCCUUCCAG